AAUCCACUCCUUGCACAACUUAAUAAAAAGUAUCAGAAAACCAAUUUUGACAUCACCACCACCACCACUCCAACCCCUGUCCUUUUUCCCUUAUAGGAGAAAACUAAGGAACUCAAGAGGAGUCAUCAGAAUACCUGCCAUGUGGGAGACAUCAACCCCAUUGGUGACUUUUUUUCUGCAUCACAUAUUAGAGCAUGUAUUUGGAUUACUUAGAGCAAGCCAGGACAAUGAGAUUCAAUACUGAAACUUUAAUUCAAACUUGGAAAGAGGAUCUCUUUUCCAUGGGAUUGAAGCUGGAGCUCCUGAGAAGCUGCCUGAUGGAGAGUGCAACACAGAGCAAAGCAGACCUGAGACAUAGAGAGGAGGAAUUCCACUUUAACCUGUAGAUCCAACCAUGCCUGCAGCUGCGCUUGUUCACUGGUGGAAGAAUUCGUUUUGCCAGCAUGAACAGCCAAAAUGUGAUUAGUGGCUUAAUAGUGACUCUCAUUUACCACGUCUAGCAUUUCCAACUAAAACUCCUGAGCUUCAUCGACAUAGGUAGAGCAGCUCGAGCUGCAGUAAAAAAAGAAAGGAUUCUCUCAGUUCUCUCAAGGAAACUGUCAAGAACAGCAGACUGUCCAAUAAUCAAGCAAACGCCCAAUUGCAAUACAGGAAUAAAGCCAAAUAACAGAUUUCUUCAAGUGUCAAGCAAAAAGACGUGCACACGCUUCUCGAGAUCCAGAUGCAAGGCCGGCGUCCUGGGCGUCCCUGCUCCGGCCGCUAGAGGGCGGUGCGCUGCUCGCUCACCUCCCUCCGCCUCCAGCGUAGCCUCCGAGCCCCUGGCCGCCCAGAGAAGGGGGCAGAGACGCCUUGUGGGCAGAUACACCCACGUCCGGAAGAGCUGA
rnacentral:lncRNA from 1 species